UACGGGGUGAGGCGAAGCGUUAAUCGGAAUUACUGGGCGUAAAGCGUGCGCAGGCGGUGAUGUAAGACAGUUGUGAAAUCCCCGGGCUCAACCUGGGAACUGCAUCUGUGACUGCAUCGCUGGAGUGCGGCAGAGGGGGAUGGAAUUCCGCGUGUAGCAGUGAAAUGCGUAGAUAUGCGGAGGAACACCGAUGGCGAAGGCAAUCCCCUGGGCCUGCACUGACGCUCAUGCACGAAAGCGUGGGGAGCAAACAGG
rnacentral:rRNA from 1 species